UUUCGCAAUGCCCGAAAGGGUGACGAAGCGACGCCGCGUGGGUGAGGAAGGCCUUCGGGUUGUAAAGCCCUGUCAGGAGUUAAGAAAUAUAGGUAUGCUAAUAUCGUAUCUAUUUGACAAAGGCUCCAAAGGAAGCCACGGCUAACUCUGUGCCAGCAGCCGCGGUAAUACAGAGGUGGCAAGCGUUGUUCGGAAUUAUUGGGCGUAAAGAGCACGUAGGUGGAUUUGUAAGUCAGAUGUGAAAGCCUUCUGUUCAACGGGAGAAUUGCAUCUGAAACUAUAAACCUUGAGUAUAGGAGGGGAGAAUGGAACUUCUGGUGGAGCGGUGAAAUGCGUAGAUAUCAGAAGGAACGCCGGCGGCGAAAGCGAUUCUCUGGCCUAUUACUGACACUCAGUGUGCGAAAGCUAGGGGAGCAAACGGGAUUAGAUACCCCGGUAGUCCUAGCCGUAAACGACGGGCACUAAGUAGAGGGGUUUUA
rnacentral:rRNA from 1 species